rnacentral:rRNA from 1 species
GAUUAGUAAAAAUCGAACCAAAACCUAAGAAAAUUCAUAAGAAAACUCUCAAGGCAAGUGGGCACCAUGUGGGAUUUUCUCUCAAUAGGUUGAGAGCAUCUCUCUCGAACUCACUUUUACUAAGAGCUCUUUCUAGAUUCUAUGGGUGGUGGUGUAUGACCAUUCUUAGUUGGUGAAGCGAUUUGUCUGGUUAAUUUCAUUAACGAACGAGACCUCAGUCUGCUAACUAGCUAUGCCGAGGUACCCCUUCGUGGUCAGCUUCUUAGAGGGACUACGGUCUUUUAGGCUGUGGAAGUUUAAGGCAAUAACAGGUCUGCGAUGUCCUUAGAUGUUCUGGGCCACAAGUACGCUGCAUUAAUGUAUUCAACGAGUUUAUAGCCUUGGCCGACAGGUCCGGGUAAUCUUUGAAAUUUCAUCGUGAUGGGGAUAGAUCAUUGUAAUUGUUGGUCUUCAACGAGGAAUUCCUAGUAAGCGUAAGUCAUCAGCUCAUGUUGACUACGUCCCUACCCUUUGUUGCCCGUCGCUCCUACUGAUUGAAUUUUCCAGUGAAGUGUUCAUAUCGCAUCGAUGUGGGCAGUUUGUUGCCCUCGACGUCGUGAGAAGUCUACUGAAUCUUAUCAUUUAGAGAAAGAAGAAGUUGUAACAAGGUUUUCGUAGGUGAAUCUAUGGAAG